rnacentral:rRNA from 1 species
UACGUAGGGGGCAAGCGUUGUUCGGAUUUACUGGGCGUAAAGCGCGUGUAGGCGGACUUGUAAGUUGGGGGUGAAAUCCCGAGGCUCAACCUCGGAACUGCCUCCAAAACUACAAGUCUGGAGCAAGAUAGAGGCAAGUGGAAUUGCGAGUGUAGAGGUGAAAUUCGUAGAUAUCUGGAGGAACACCGGUGGCGAAGGCGGCAUCCUGGACCGACACUGACGCUGAGGCGCGAAAGCUAGGGUAGCAAACGGG